rnacentral:tRNA from 1 species
GCGGCCGUGGUCUAGCCUGGGUAUGACACGGGCCUGCCACGCCCGGAAUCGCGGGUUCAAAUCCCGCCGGCCGCA